rfam:Youngiibacter fragilis 232.1 contig_90, whole genome shotgun sequence.
GGAACCCAGUCUGGUAAGUGUUAGCCACACGCCAGUAUCUAGCCUUGGAGCCGAAGCCGUGAGGUCAGGUUUAAGAGUAGGAAAGAAACCAUAUGAGCCGUAAUGCGAAAGCGUAAAGUGAUUGAGCCUCGUUAGAUUAGAUAGAAUGGAAGCUGAUGCCGUCACCUCGGCAGCAAGCAAUAAUGCUUAUUCGAAAUGGCAAGAAUAAGUAGGUUCCAUCUGGGUCAGAGAACA